rnacentral:lncRNA from 1 species
GUAAUGUCAACUACGUAAGAUGUCAAAAGUAAAAUCACAAAAAUACAAAACUCCAAGGAAAAUUCAAAUAGGAAAGUCCCUUGAAAUGGCAAAAUCAAAAGCUCAAACACAUCAAACAAAUGAAUAACAACUUAUGUUGAGAUUAAACCUUUAGCCAAAAUUCUCAAUUGUAUGACAGUCGCAAAAAGUUUUUACCAAAACAAAAACAAACAUGUAGUAUGAGUGCCAUGAAGACAACUCUCCAUCCAAGUCACAAAAGUUAACAAUUAUAGGUAACAGUACGACUUUCAACACAAAUCCUUUCACUCACACCGAACAGCAAGGUUCAAAGGACCCCUAAAUGACUAGUGUAAGACAAUUUAAACAGGAAAACUAACGAUCUAAUCUAUAUACAAUACGACAAACACUUAUGAACCACA